GAUGAACGCUAGCGGCAGGCCUAACACAUGCAAGUCGAGGGGUAGAACACUUCGGUGUUUGAGACCGGCGCACGGGUGCGUAACGCGUAUGCAAUCUACCUUGUACAGGGGAAUAGCCCAGAGAAAUUUGGAUUAAUGCCCCAUAGUAUAUAACCUUCGCAUGUUGGUUAUAUUAAAGUUCCAACGGUACAAGAUGAGCAUGCGUCCCAUUAGUUAGUUGGUAAGGUAACGGCUUACCAAGACGAUGAUGGGUAGGGGUCCUGAGAGGGGGAUCCCCCAAACUGGUACUGAGACACGGAGCAGGCUCCUACGGGAGGCAGCAGGGAGGAAUAUUGGUCAAUGGGCGCAAGCCUGAACCAGCCAUGCCGCGUGCAGGAAGACGGUCCUAUGGAUUGUAAACUGCUUUUAUACAGGAAGAAACAACUCUACGUGUAGAGUCUUGACGGUACUGUAGGAAUAAGGAUCGGCUAACUCCGUGCCAGCCGCCGCGGUAAAAC
rnacentral:rRNA from 1 species